GGAAGGUCGUCAUCUCCGGUGAGGUGGCAGGACUUCAAAUCCUGUUGGGGACGCCAGCGUUCCCGGGUGGGUUCAACUCCCAUGACUUUCCGCCA
rnacentral:tRNA from 3 species